CCUACGGGGGGCUGCAGUGGGGAAUAUUGGACAAUGGGCGGAAGCCUGAUCCAGCAACGCCGCGUGAGGGAUGACGGCCUUCGGGUUGUAAACCUCUUUCGGUAGGGACGAAGCGCAAGUGACGGUACCUACUAAAGAAGCACCGGCCAACUACGUGCCAGCAGCCGCGGUAAUACGUAGGGUGCGAGCGUUGUCCGGAAUUAUUGGGCGUAAAGGGCUCGUAGGCGGUUUGUCGCGUCGGGAGUGAAAACCUCAUGCUUAACAUGUGGCUUGCUUUCGAUACGGGCAGACUAGAGGUAUGCAGGGGAGAACGGAAUUCCUGGUGUAGCGGUGAAAUGCGCAGAUAUCAGGAGGAACACCGGUGGCGAAGGCGGUUCUCUGGGCAUUACCUGACGCUGAGGAGCGAAAGUGUGGGGAGCGAACAGGAUUAGAUACCCC
rnacentral:rRNA from 1 species